CCCCGGUAAACGGCGGCCGUAACUAUAACGGUCCUAAGGUAGCGAAAUUCCUUGUCGGGUAAGUUCCGACCUGCACGAAUGGCGUAAUGAUGGCCAGGCUGUCUCCACCCGAGACUCAGUGAAAUUGAACUCGCUGUGAAGAUGCAGUGUACCCGCGGCAAGACGGAAAGACCCCGUGAACCUUUACUAUAGCUUGACACUGAACAUUGAGCCUUGAUGUGUAGGAUAGGUGGGAGGCUUUGAAGUGUGGACGCCAGUCUGCAUGGAGCCGACCUUGAAAUACCACCCUUUAAUGUUUGAUGUUCUAACGUGGACCCGUAAUCCGGGUUGCGGACAGUGUCUGGUGGGUAGUUUGACUGGGGCGGUCUCCUCCUAAAGAGUAACGGAGGAGCACGAAGGUUGGCUAAUCCUGGUCGGACAUCAGGAGGUUAGUGCAAUGGCAUAAGCCAGCUUGACUGCGAGCGUGACGGCGCGAGCAGGUGCGAAAGCAGGUCAUAGUGAUCCGGUGGUUCUGAAUGGAAGGGCCAUCGCUCAACGGAUAAAAGGUACUCCGGGGAUAACAGGCUGAUACCGCCCAAGAGUUCAUAUCGACGGCGGUGUUUGGCACCUCGAUGUCGGCUCAUCACAUCCUGGGGCUGAAGUAGGUCCCAAGGGUAUGGCUGUUCGCCAUUUAAAGUGGUACGCGAGCUGGGUUUAGAACGUCGUGAGACAGUUCGGUCCCUAUCUGCCGU
rnacentral:rRNA from 3 species